UAUUGGAAACAAUGCCACACAGAACACAACAACUACAAAUAAUUGCCACUAUACUUAUAAAAAUACCACAUAAGUAACAUUUAAUACAAAUACAAAACAAAUAUGACAUUAAUAACUGGUCUCCAGAAGCAUAACUCACAAAUUUGUAUUACAUUUUAGGAUUGUGCAAGGGUACAUUAUAUAUAUUUCAAAUACAGUUGAUAGGAGUCCUAAUUCACAGCAAAAUGGCCAUUUCCUAUUGAGGGACAUUUUAGCGCGUCAGAGUUCUCUAUUAAUAGAAGUAGCAAAGAAGUUGUGACUGCAUCACAACAUCCUCACAAGUGUGGUUGCAGACUUUGGGGCAGGGGGAGGGUUGUGGGAAAAAAAUGGCGUCAGAUGCGGUCGAGAGCGCAAAGCUUGGUACACAACAUCUGGGCGAGCGCUGCACACGUCCAUGCACGCGGAUGCCUCGAGACCCCUCGGCACCUCCACGCAGACUCCGCGGCGCGGAAUCACAUGCACGUUCCCCACGGGGAUAACUAACCUCAUCGCAAACACAGCUCGGGGGUGAUUGGAGGGGGAGACAUGAUCGCCGCUCGCCGGCAGUGGAAGAGCCUCGUGAGGAAGUGACCUUCGCCGUGAAUGGAACAUGUCAGCCAUGAAGAAGGUGUUACCAUGGUUACUAAAGACUCAGUGCUGCCUUUUCUUGGACAAAGAUGCAGGUAAGAUACUGUGAUUCUUCGAGCAGGGUGACAGCAAUGCGGUCGUGAUUGAUAAAUGUGGACACAGAUUCAUUAUGUACAGCAUUUGGGAAAAGGGAAUACGAAACAUGACAAAUAAUGACGCGACUGGUCUAAGAAUAUCCACAUUUUGAGGCAAUCUCAUAUCCCGGUGCCAAUCUGCUGUCUGUUUUUAUUAUCUAAAAAUGGUCUCAGACAAAUGCUGCUGAUUCAAGUAACUGUGAAUAUAUUUGGGAUUUUUUAAAAAAAAAUUUAUGUGCACUUUGCAUUUGUGUCCGUCUUUAUGGAUUGGAGCAGAAAGUUGAGUAACCUUUUCGCCCCUGAGGAUAUUCAGUCUUAAAAUGAGUGGGAUUUGCAUCUAUGUUGGC